AAAUUGAAGAGUUUGAUCAUGGCUCAGAUUGAACGCUGGCGGCAGGCCUAACACAUGCAAGUCGAGCGGCAGCGGAAAGUAGCUUGCUACUUUGCCGGCGAGCGGCGGACGGGUGAGUAAUGUCUGGGAAACUGCCUGAUGGAGGGGGAUAACUACUGGAAACGGUAGCUAAUACCGCAUAACGUCGCAAGACCAAAGAGGGGGACCUUCGGGCCUCUUGCCAUCAGAUGUGCCCAGAUGGGAUUAGCUAGUAGGUGGGGUAACGGCUCACCUAGGCGACGAUCCCUAGCUGGUCUGAGAGGAUGACCAGCCACACUGGAACUGAGACACGGUCCAGACUCCUACGGGAGGCAGCAGUGGGGAAUAUUGCACAAUGGGCGCAAGCCUGAUGCAGCCAUGCCGCGUGUAUGAAGAAGGCCUUCGGGUUGUAAAGUACUUUCAGCGGGGAGGAAGGUGCUGAGGUUAAUAACCUCAGCAAUUGACGUUACCCGCAGAAGAAGCACCGGCUAACUCCGUGCCAGCAGCCGCGGUAAUACGAAGGGUGCAAGCGUUAAUCGGAAUUACUGGGCGUAAAGCGCACGCAGGCGGUCUGUCAAGUCGGAUGUGAAAUCCCCGGGCUCAACCUGGGAACUGCAUUCGAAACUGGCAGGCUAGAGUCUUGUAGAGGGGGGUAGAAUUCCAGGUGUAGCGGUGAAAUGCGUAGAGAUCUGGAGGAAUACCGGUGGCGAAGGCGGCCCCCUGGACAAAGACUGACGCUCAGGUGCGAAAGCGUGGGGAGCAAACAGGAUUAGAU
rnacentral:rRNA from 1 species